CGUGUAGGCGGGUCGACAAGUUGGAUGUGAAAUGCACCGGCUCAACUGGUGCGCUGCAACCAAAACUGCCGAUCUUGAGUGUUGGAGAGGAUAGUGGAAUUCCUAGUGUAGCGGUAAAAUGCGUAGAUAUUAGGAGGAACACCAGUGGCGAAGGCGGCUAUCUGGACCGAUAUCGACGCUGAGACGCGAAAGCGUGGGUAGCAAACA
rnacentral:rRNA from 1 species